GGCAAGAUGACCGAGUGGUUAAGGUAAAUUACCAAUUCUCACCUUCUUUUCAUCAUUUUCUAACAAUUCCACAAAGGUGUAUGACUCAAGAACUAUUCUUGUCCUUGAAUAACUAGGAUUUCAUAUGUCGCAAGACGCGUGGGUUCGAAUCCCACUCUUGUCA
rnacentral:tRNA from 1 species